rnacentral:rRNA from 1 species
AGUGAACGCUGGCGGUAGGCCUAACACAUGCAAGUCGAACGGCAGCACAGUAAGAGCUUGCUCUUACGGGUGGCGAGUGGCGGACGGGUGAGGAAUACAUCGGAAUCUACUUUUUCGUGGGGGAUAACGUAGGGAAACUUACGCUAAUACCGCAUACGACCUACGGGUGAAAGCAGGGGAUCUUCGGACCUUGCGCGAUUGAAUGAGCCGAUGUCGGAUUAGCUAGUUGGCGGGGUAAAGGCCCACCAAGGCGACGAUCCGUAGCUGGUCUGAGAGGAUGAGGGGCCACACUGGAACUGAGACGCGGCCCAGACUCAGCCGGGGGGCAGCAGGGGGGAAUAGGGAACAAGGGGCGAAGGCCUGAUCACGCUAUGCCGGGGGGGAGAAGAAGGCCUUGGGUUGCUAGAGCCUUUUUGUGGGAAAAAAAAAGAAGGAGGUGAAUACCCCCGUGUCCGGAGGGUCCAAAAAAAAAAAACCCGGUUAAUUUUGGGC